rfam:Triticum aestivum genome assembly, contig: Triticum_aestivum_CS42_TGACv1_scaffold_486443_6AS
AAUGUACUCCCUCCGUCCGGAAAUACUUGUCGGAGAAAUGAAUGUAUUUAGAUGUAUAUUAGUUCUAGAUACAUCCAUUUUUAUGCAUUCCUCUGACAAAUAUUUCCGGACGGAGGGAGUACGUG